rnacentral:lncRNA from 1 species
UGUUGGAAAAUUGUAAAAAUUAUGAGAAAAUUAUUGUUUAUUUAUUCCUUUUAAUCACAUCUUGAAAUUCAAAAAUUCAGGGUGUGACAGCCUACCUCCGCCUUCCACUCCAACCAAUGCACGCCACGACGGCCCACAGGCUGGCCCAAUAGCUAGCCCUGCUAUGCAGCCCGAUCCACCUCCCCCUCCCGUCCAUCCCACUUGGCCGCGCAGCACGCCACCACUGCAUUUGCCCUACUAGCCCGGCCUUCCAUCCAUUCCCCCU